UUGUUCCUGCUGCUCCGGCCUGGCACCCAGCCUUGCCUCUGCACUGCCCCUUUCCUUAUCUGGAGGGCCGGCCCUAGGCACCAGCCUAGCAAGCAGAUGCCUGGGGCAGCAAACGGGAAAGGGCAGCACUGCGGCAGCUUUCGGUGGCAUGCCGGUGGCAGCUCCUCCGCUUCCCUCUUCGGCGGCGUGCGUGCAGCAGCCCCUCCUCCCGGUUUCUGUUCGGCAGCACACCUACGGCAGCUCCUCCACUUCCCUGUUUGGCGGCAUUUUCCUUCUCCGGUUGGGACGGCCAAAAAGGUAGAGCCGGCCCUGCUUACCUGCUAUCGUGCUCGCUCCAGUUCUUGACCUCUGGUUUGACCCUCGGCUCUGGUUCCUGACUGGCUCUGGUUCCACACACACUGAUUCGACCCUUGGCUCAGGUACUCAGUUUCGGCCUUCUAGUUUUAUGCUUGGCCUUGGCUCCCGAUGACUGACUACGGCUCUGACCCCAGCCGCCGGCCACAAGGUCUGCUGCCCGCGCUGCCCACAAGGUGGGGAAGCUGAGUAACAGGUGGGUUAAGUAACUUUCCCGAAGUCACAAAACAAGUCAGUGGGACAAGAGGAAAAAAGGAGACAAAACUUUUCCUUGGGACAAAUGAAAGGAAAUUCACUGUUUUGUCUCUAGUGAAAUCGCCCCAUGCUGGGACUGAAAAUUUUGGAAGUGGAAAUGGGAAAACCUCACCUCAGAUAACAUUUGAGUGGUUGCCACGAAGCUUGGCUCUGGAGAGGAAAAUCAACUUUUACGCAGCUACACUAUUAAUACUACCUUAUGGGAGUAUUAAAAUAGUUCACUGAAACAAGGUCAAUAAACUACAGCUGUAAACCAUUGGUGAGACUGACACUGAAAGGAGAGAGUGUGGUCUGGAGGAUCAGAGUGAACUGCCACAGACAUUACAAACCCCACACAAUCAAGUGUAUACCUUACACUUCACUUUAUAUCGCUGCCGUGUUUUAUGAACUGGGCUUGAGUUUUAACUCUGCCCUGGUUUAAAAGAAUCUUCACUUCUCAGGUUAACAUUAUGACAAACGCUGGAGUUCAGCUGGCAUCCUUUUGUCUUUGUUUAUUUAACAUUAUGUACUGAGUAGUCCCCUUUGGAGGUUUAGUUUGACUGGUAAAUGAUAUGGUAUUGAUACUUUGAUGCUAUGUUGACUGAUGCAUUAGAAAUCCCUAUGUUAGAUAGAAAGGUUUCAGUCUGACUUUUGCUGGUCUCAGCUCAUUUCUCAAAUAGUUCCCAUUCAGAUAUGCCAAGAGGGCCAGAUGAUGUGUGGCCCUUGGCAGAGGGGUAGAAAGGUGAGGUAGGAUGCACAGGAAAUGAAUGUAUGAAUAUAUAUUUGCUUGUGUUUUACUACUAACACCUUAGUUUUAUUAAACAAAAGGUUUUCUUUCAACUUUUGACUUUGCUCUUUUUUCCCAUUUUUACGUCCUCCACGUUGGCCAAUGGUUUCUUUUAUGUUUGUAUUCAUUCUUCUAGUCAGUGUCAGCUGCUGCUGAUUCUGAUGCAGUCCUGAAAUGCAAUGAUCAAAUCUAAAUUAGAUGUACAGGUAAGUCCAACUAGGGUGACCAGCUACAUUUCAAGGAAAUAAAGGACAAUGCCAUGAAAAAUAGUGGCCAAC